rnacentral:rRNA from 1 species
GUUGUAUAGUUAAGUGACUAAGCGUACACGGUGGAUGCCUAGGCAAUCAGAGGCGAAGAAGGACGUGCUAAUCUGCGAAAAGCUUGGAUGAGUCGAUAAGAGGCGUUUAAUCCAAGAUGUCCGAAUGGGGAAACCCGCUAGGUGAAGAACCUAGCAUUUACUAUUGAAUACAUAGGUAGUAAAGGCAAACCGGGAGAACUGAAACAUCUAAGUACCCCGAGGAAAAGAAAUCAACCGAGAUUCCGUAAGUAGCGGCGAGCGAAAGUGGAAGAGCCAGUAAGUUUUAGCAUCAUAUUUAGGAGAAUGAGCUGGGAAGCUCAAUCGUAGAGGGUGAUAGUCCCGUAUCCGAAAAAUCUGAUGUGGAACUAAGCUUACAACAAGUAGGGCGGGACACGAGAAAUCCUGUUUGAAGAUGGGGGGACCAUCCUCCAAGGCUAAAUACUCCUGAUUGACCGAUAGUGAACCAGUACUGUGAAGGAAAGGCGAAAAGAACCCCAGUGAGGGGAGUGAAAUAGAACCUGAAACCGUGUACGUACAAGCAGUGGGAGCCCCAUCACUCAAUCCUAUUGAGUGGUGUAAAAAAUCCACAAAAUCUAACCGCUUGGUUAACCACUUGCGAAGCAAGUGGGUCAACCGAAAAAAGGCAGUGGGAUUGAGUGAUGGGGUGACUGCGUACCU